AUUGUAGAAGAUUUAAGUGGUAUUUUGUGCACACUAAAGUAAUGUGGAGAGAGAGAGAGAGAUCUUAUUUAUAGCAUGUAUGUUAAUUUAAAAUGAAGAUUAAAAAGCCUGUGUUUUUAAUAUGUGAUAAUACCAAAGUCAAUGAUGAGAAGUGCUAAUUAUUUCAUUCCUUCCUGACCUAAAGGAGUGCUUUAUAAUUAAAACGCCACCAUGUUUACUUGUACAUGUACAUGUGUAUAGUAAAUUGAGGAAGUAAAACUUCUUUUCAUUGUUCAUACAUGGUACAGUCAUGCACUUGUGCAUGUUAACGCUUUUUUUUAAAAACUAUAUAUAGAUCUAGAUUUUAUGACGGCAACCAGUGUUGGAUUUCCUUUUCAAAUAGAAAGCAGCACAUAAAAAGUAUUUUGUUUUACAGAACAGUAUGCUCUGUAUGUAUUACCGGUAUGUAAUAUGUAAUAUCUUUGAUGCAGAUAUGAAAAGGAUUUUGUUGCGCAAUGUACAAUCACUGUAUUGAGUUUCACAUUAUUAUAACAUGAAUAAUGGAAUAAUGUGGGUUUAUCUGAGGAGUGUAAGACUUAGCUGUUCCUUUGUGAUUGUAAAACUUGACUGUUGUUCUAUCUUAUAUGUUAAUGAUAUUUAUUAAUGAGAGUUUAUCAAAAAUGAAUUAAAAGUGUAUCAGC
rnacentral:misc_RNA from 1 species